rnacentral:rRNA from 1 species
CAUGCAAGUCGAACGGCAGCAUGACAUAAUUUCGGUUAUGUUGAUGGCGAGUGGCGAACGGGUGAGUAACGCGUAGGAAUCUACCUAGUAGGGGGGGACAACUCGGGGAAACUCGAGCUAAUACCGCAUACUCCCUACGGAGGAAAGCGGGGGACCUUCGGGCCUCGUGCUUUUAGAUGAGCCUGCGUUGGAUUAGCUAGUUGGUGGGGUAAUGGCCUACCAAGGCGACGAUCCAUAGCUGGUCUGAGAGGAUGAUCAGCCACACCGGGACUGAGACACGGCCCGGACUCCUACGGGAGGCAGCAGUGGGGAAUAUUGCACAAUGGGCGAAAGCCUGACCCAGCCAUGCCGCGUGUGUGAAGAAGGCCUUCGGGUUGUAAAGCACUUUCAAUUGGGAGGAAAGGUUCACGGCUAAUAACCGUGAGCUGUUGCGUUUCCUUUAGAAGAAGCACCGGCUAACUCCCUGCCCGCAGCCGCGGUAAUACCGGAGGUGCGAGCGUUAAUCGGAAUUACUGGGGCGUAAGGCGCGCGUAGGUGGUCUGUUAAGUUAUAUGUGAAAUCCCCGGGCUCAACCUGGGAACUGCAUCCGAUACUGCUUGACUAGAGUGCGGGAGAGGGAGGUGGAAUUUCCGGUGUAGCGGUGAAAUGCGUAGAUAUGUGGAGGAAUACCAGUGGCGAAGCGGCCUCCUGGCUCGACACUGACACUGAGUGCGAAAGCGUGGGGAGCAAACAGGAUUAGAUACCCUGGUAGUCCACGCUGUAAACGAUGUCUACUAGCUGUUGGGUACUUGAGAUGUUUGUAAGUGAGUAACCCCUAAGUAUACCGCCUGAGGGAGGACCGGCGCCAAGAUAAACUCCAAUGAAUUUGACGGGGCCUCCACAAGCC